rnacentral:lncRNA from 1 species
AUGUCAGGAGACGGAGCCACGGAACAGGCAGCUGAGUAUGUCCCAGAGAAGGUGAAGAAAGCCGAAAAGAAAUUAGAAGAGAAUCCUUAUGACCUUGACGCUUGGAGCAUUCUCAUUCGAGAGGCACAGAAUCAACCUAUAGACAAAGCACGGAAGACUUAUGAACGCCUUGUUGCCCAGUUCCCCAGUUCUGGCAGAUUCUGGAAACUGUACAUUGAAGCAGAGGUUAAUAUUUUAUUUUAUUUUUUCUUAUAUAGCAUUUGAUGGGAAUUGCAACAUACACUGUAGUGAUAGAAAACAAAUUAGGAACAUAGAUAGC